rnacentral:lncRNA from 1 species
UGUUGACCUAUACACUUAAAAAUAAAAAUACAUAAUCCAUCAUGCAAAUGAACAAUUAUUAAACGAUGUAUUGCAAAUAACUUACUAGUUCUUAUUGCACCUACAGGUAGGCUACACUCAAUGUGCGGUGCUGAUGAACAGCGUCAAACAAUGCCCCCCUCCCUCAAACACAAGAAUAACUUCUCCCGAGUUUUCACCCCCUCGCCUUGGACCAGUCCGAAACAGAACAUCAUGGCGAUUGAUGGUGGUGGUGGUAGGAGCUGUGGGGUGCAUGAGCUCAUCUGUGCCAGACGAGACUCAAUAAUUGUAUUGGAUAACCGGAUUACCACUAAGGGGAACAGCACACAACACUGGUGUUUUGACAGAAUGGAAUAAUUCACCAUAGCCUAGGCGUGAAGCAAUUGAGACACAUACACAAUCGAAAGCUGCUAGAAUGGAGAAGGUGAGCUAUGCAUGUGGGUUAUUGUUCUCUUAUCUCUCC